rnacentral:rRNA from 1 species
CACGUAGGGGGCAAGCGUUGUCCGGAUUUAUUGGGCGUAAAGGGCGCGUAGGCGGCUUGGCAAGUGGAAGGUGAAAUCCCUCGGCUUAACCGAGGAACUGCCCUCCAAACUGCUUCGCUUGAGACCGGGAGAGGUGAGUGGAAUUCCCAGUGUAGCGGUGAAAUGCGUAGAUAUUGGGAGGAACACCAGUGGCGAAGGCGGCUCACUGGACCGGUACUGACGCUGAGGCACGAAAGCAGGGAG